rnacentral:lncRNA from 1 species
AAAGCUGCCACAUCUACAAGUGGUGUAAACUGUUGUGUCACCGUCCAGCUGAGAGAAGGCAAACUGUGUGCUGGAGAAUCUUCAGAAGGUAUACAGAAGCAUAAAAGAUGCACAAAAAAUGACUUAAUGCACCAAAACCACCUAAUGAACAAUAUGGUUUGGUUGGGGAAAAAAAUGUAUGAGGAUUUGGUUAAAAAGAAAAUCAUGAAAUGAGCCGAGUAAGAAGUACUUAUUGUACUUUUAGGAGGCAUGCAAGCACGUCCUGUGCAGACUCUCUCUUCCACCCCCCACCAGUCACCGCUGCUUCAAGAAAGUUAUCCAAAAGUGCUGCUUGGGCUGGAGGUUUGUCUGGUUUUUAAACCAAGUAACACAACUUAAACAAAUAUUGUCACAUCUGUCACACCUGAUGUACCAAGCAUAGUCAUCCCAGCAACAAGAGCCAAGGCUGGCUAAAAAAAACUUUUGAAGACAGAAAUGUACCUCUGAACAAAUUGAUAGUAAUGAAGCUAAAGCAAUGUGUUUGAAGAAAGUAGCUCUGAACUCUUUUAAACUGCUAAAGAUUGGUCCAGCUUGAAACUUGCAGCGGGAUUUAACAUGGGGAAAGGAAAGAUGGAAGCAGAAAUAGAUUCUUUCCCUUGCCCAUUUGUCAACACAGGUACUUACAGACAAAGAUUUUGCCCCUACUGAAAAAACGCAGACAUCUAAUCCCUCCAGCUCUAAGACAUGAUGUGGAGACUCAUCUACUUGCUCCCAGUUCUAGCUACCCUUAACAGAAUAACUUUCCUGUCUUUCUGGAUACCUGGCAAAGCCUACAAGUGAAGGAGAGCAAUGAAAGCUUCCUAGUUAUGUUUUCUUGCCUGUUCUCCAGGCCCCUCACCAGCUUCGUCGCCCUUCUCUGGACUCGCUCAAGCACCUCCGUGUCCUUUUUGUAGCGAGGGGCCCAAAACUGAACACAGUACUCGAGGUGCGGCCUCACCAGAGCCGAGUACAGGGGGACGAUCACUUCCCUAGCCCUGCUGGCCACACUGCUUCUGAUACAAGCCAGGAUGCCGUUGGCCUUCUUGGCCACCUGAGCACACUGCUGGCUCAUAUUCAGCCGACUAUCAACCAUCACUCCCAGGUCCUUCUCCUCCAGGCAGCUUUCCAACCAUUCCUCUCCCAGUCUGUAGCUCUGCUUGGGGUUAUUGCACCCCAGGUGCAGGACCCGGC